rnacentral:tRNA from 1 species
GGGGCAGUUGCUCAGUGGUAAAGCUCCCGUCUCUUAUGCGGGAAGGCCGGAAUUCGAUUCUCGGCUGCUUCC